UACUAUGAGCCUAGUUCUGUUUCCUAGCAC
rnacentral:piRNA from 1 species